rnacentral:tRNA from 1 species
ACGUUUCGUCACCGGUGUGGCGCCCAGUCUUCAAAACUGGUGGACGGUCGAAAGGUCGUUGGUAGGUUCGACUCCUAUACGUUUC